CUCUUUCAGUAGGGAAGAAGCGAAAGUGACGGUACCUGCAGAAGAAGCGCCGGCUAACUACGUGCCAGCAGCCGCGGUAAUACGUAGGGCGCAAGCGUUAUCCGGAAUUAUUGGGCGUAAAGAGCUCGUAGGCGGUUUGUCGCGUCUGCCGUGAAAGUCCGGGGCUCAACUCCGGAUCUGCGGUGGGUACGGGCAGGCUAGAGUGAUGUAGGGGAGACUGGAAUUCCUGGUGUAGCGGUGAAAUGCGCAGAUAUCAGGAGGAACACCGAUGGCGAAGGCAGGUCUCUGGGCAUUAACUGACGCUGAGGAGCGAAAGCAUGGGGAGCGAACAGGAUUAGAUACCCUGGUAGUCCAUGCCGUAAACGUUGGGCACUAGGUGUGGGGGACAUUCCACGUUUUCCGCGCCGUAGCUAACGCAUUAAGUGCCCCGCCUGGGGAGUACGGCCGCAAGGCUAAAACUCAAAGGAAUUGACGGGGGCCCGCACAAGCGGCGGAGCAUGCGGAUUAAUUCGAUGCAACGCGAAGAACCUUACCAAGGCUUGACAUGGACCGGACCGCCGCAGAGAUGUGGUUUCUCCUUUUGGGGCCGGUUCACAGGUGGUGCAUGGUUGUCGUCAGCUCGUGUCGUGAGAUGUUGGGUUAAGUCCCGCAACGAGCGCAACCCUCGUUCCAUGUUGCCAGCGCGUA
rnacentral:rRNA from 1 species